GUAGGGAAUAUUGCGCAAUGGGGGAAACCCUGACGCAGCGACGCCGCGUGAGUGGUGAAGGCCUUCGGGUCGUAAAGCUCUGUUGCAGGGGAAUAAAAAAAUGAAGGUACCCUGUGAGGAAGGAUCGGCUAACUUCGUGCCAGCAGCCGCGGUAAGACGAGGGAUCCUAGCGUUGCUCGGAAUCAUUGGGCGUAAAGAGGGCGUAGGUGGCUUGGUAAGUCAGGUGUGAAAGCCCAGGGCUCAACCCUGGAAGUGCAUUUGAUACUGCUGGUCUUGAGUGUCGGAGAGGUUACCGGAAUACCUGGUGUAGUGGUGAAAUACGUAGAUAUCAGGUGGAACACCGGAGGCGAAGGCGGGUAACUGGACGAACACUGACACUGAGGCCCGAAAGCGUGGGGAUCAAACAGGAUUAGAUACCCGGGUAGUCC
rnacentral:rRNA from 1 species